rnacentral:rRNA from 1 species
UACGGGGGGGGGCAAGCGUUGUUCGGAAUUACUGGGCGUAAAGGGCUCGUAGGCGGCCAACUAAGUCAGACGUGAAAUCCCUCGGCUCAACCGUGGAACUGCUUGGUAUACUGGGUGUCUUGAGCCACUUAGGGGCAACCGGAACAAACGGUGGAGCGGUGAAAUGCGUAGAUAUCGUUUGGAACGCCAAUGGUGAAAAACAGGUUGCUGGGAGUGUGCUGACGCUGAGACACGAAAGCCAGGGGAGCAAACGGG